UCAAACCGUGUUUGUCACAGAAAGUGAAGAAGAAGAUGUGGAUGUUGCUCGAGAACCAGGCGUAGACGUUCGUCACCCUAGGAGAGAGAGCAAGCACAAUCUGAAGGGUGGGAAGGGGAAACCCUGCUUUACUCCCUUAGGGUUAACCUUUUUUCUUAGGGUGACCCUCCCUCCCUCUACACCUCUCCCUCUUUCUCUGUUGCUUGGCUAUGGCGUAGCGUCACUCUGGUUUUUUUUUUUUUUUUUUUUUUUUUUUCUCUCCUUUUCCUCAUAGGGUUUAAUGUCGGAACGAGUGAGAAGCCGUGCCGGCAGCAGGGAACGGAAGCCGCGAUCACGCUCCAGGGAAAGUAUGAGAGAUUCGAAGGUGGACGGGGGAGUGGACGCAAAGGGAAGAGGUCAUAGGGAUGCGGAUGACGGUCGGAGGCGGAGGUCCCGGUCGCGGGACAGCACGCGGGAUUCGAAGCGGAGGCGCAGGUCGCGUUCCAGGGAAAGCCCGAGGGAUUCUAAGUCGGGCCUGAAUUCUGAACGGAAAGCCCGCUCACGAUCUAGGGAAGGCGUGCGCGACCGUGAUGUUGAAGAUAAAGACCGAAAAAAAAGCUAUGGAGCAGCGGAUGAGACGCAUUCCAGGGGUCGUUGGAACGAUUCGGAUGGUGUUAGUCGCAGACGGGACGAGGAAAUUUGUGGCAAGAAAGGGAGGACUGAACACACCCGCAGUGGCGUAGAUCGAAGAGAAAGGUCACGGUCACGAGAGAGCGUUCGAGAUCGAAGGGCUGGGAGCAGGGAAAGCAAUCGCGACAGAGAUAGGAGGGCUGGGAGCAGAGAAAGCAUUCGCGACAGAGAAAGAAGGGCGGGGAGCAGGGAAAGCAAUCGUGACAGAGAAAGAAGGGCAGGGAGCAGGGAAAGCAAUCGUGACAGAGAAAGAAGGGCUGGGAGCAGGGAAAGCAAUCGUGAUAGGGAAAGAAGGGCUGGGAGCAGAGAAAGCUUGCGAGAGAAAGAUAGAGAGAGAAGAGCUGGGAGCAGAGAAAGCUUGCCAGAAAGAGAGAGAGGGGAUGGGAGUAGGCCUCGGGGCUAUGGUGAUGAGCAUCACGAUAAGAAUUCCGGGCAUGGAAGUCGAGUUAACGCGGUGAAGAAUCAUCAUAACGGAGAUAACAAUUUGCAUAAUGUAAGCAGAGAUGGAGCAUAUAGGGCUGACAGACAUGCGGAUAGGGAUUGGGACAGGAGCCGAGAUGGUGGUUACGGAAGUCAUCGUGAUCGCGACCGCCGUGAUAGGAGUUACCGGAAUCGGAGCUUCAGGGAGGAUCUUGAUUCUAUUAAGGAGCAAACAGAAAGGGAAGAAGAGGAGGAGGAAGAGUACAAAGAGCGCAUUGAUUCACAACUGGCUGCCCGGGAAGAAGACGAUCCUGAAAAGGUUAAAGAAGCAAGUAGGCGUCGUAGGCAAGCAAUACUAGAGAAAUACAAGCAACAACAGCAAGAGGAGCAGCCGAAUCAACAGGCAAUGGAAGUGGACAUCAACAAGCCUACUGAGGUUAAUGCUGUUGAUCAUAGCUUAGUCAAGAAGACGGAGCAGGGUCUACCUUCAAUUUCACCCGACAUUAAAGAGAUACAGGUUUUGGAAGAGCCUUUCAACGGCAUGGAAGUUGACUUGGAGAAGAAAAAUGUUGUCAAUGGCAAUACUCAAAUCGAGACUGCAUCAGCAGUUGGUGGCUUGGGACAAGGAUCACCGAAAAGUGAGUCAAAGUAUAAUGAUGAUAUGUUCUCUGACGAUAUUUUUGGGGAUUCACCAGCAGGGGGUCGGAGAAUGGGAAAAGGUGACGGCUUAGCUAUUAAUGCAAGUGGUCUGAAUGACAAUUGGGAUGAUCCUGAAGGACGAUACUGUUUCCGUAUUGGUGAGACCUUGGAUGGCCGAUACGGUGUUUUGGCGUCACAUGGCAGUGGUGUGUUUUCCACUGUGGUUCGAGCGCAUGAUUCGAAGGCAGGUAAAGAUGAUCCUGAAGAAGUCGCGAUCAAGAUCAUUCGCAACAAUGACACCAUGUAUAAAAUUGGCCAACAGGAGCUGGUGAUAUUGAAAAAAUUAGCUGGAGCUGAUCCUGAAAACAGAAGGCAUUGUGUACGACUACUUUCUAGCUUUGAAUAUCGGAACCAUUUGUGUUUGGUCUUUGAGUCUUUGCACAUGAACCUCCGUGAAAUUCUGAAAAAGUUUGGUCGCAAUAUUGGCAUCAACUUGACUGCAGUCCGAGCUUAUGCAAAACAGUUAUUUAUCGCUCUCAAACAUUUGCGGAACUGUGGAGUUUUGCACUGCGACAUCAAGCCUGAUAAUAUGUUGGUGAAUGUCGCAAUGAACGUGCUGAAGCUUUGUGAUUUUGGAUCUGCUAUGUUCGCUGGGGAGAACGAAAUCACACCUUACUUAGUCAGUCGAUUUUAUCGAGCACCUGAAAUCAUUCUUGGCUUACCUUACGACCAUGCUCUUGAUAUAUGGUCGGUUGGCUGCUGUUUAUAUGAGCUCUACUCCGGGAAGAUGCUAUUUCCUGGGCAUACCAAUAAUGACAUGCUACGUCUGCACAUGGAGCUGAAGGGGCCUUUCCCAAAGAAGAUGCUCAAGAAGGCGCAGUUCAAGGAUCAGCACUUUGACCAAGACUUAAACUUUUGUGCUGUCGAAGAGGAUCCCGUUACCAAGAAGAUGGUAAAGAGGAUAAUUAGAAACGAUCAUUUCCUCAAACCCAAGGACAUGGGACAUCUCGUUUACCCCUCAGGAGCAGCUGACGAAGACGCUAAAAUGGUUGCGCAGUUCAGGGAUUUGUUGGAGAAGAUGUUUGUUCUGGAUCCUGACAAGCGGAUGACUGUGUCAGAGGCAUUGAAUCACCCCUUCAUUGCGGGAAGGUGAUGCAGUUAUGCCAGCUACCGGCGUAUACAUUGUUGCCUGUCUGGACAUGAAGUUUUCUUCUGCAUAUGUAGAGCUUAGGAAAGUAAUCGUAAUCUUACAGUCUCCAGCAUCUAUUAGACCAACAAAACAAAUUCUGCUUUUUCGUUCUACAUUUUCUGCUAUUGAUCUCAAACUCUCUCUGUCGUGGCACUGCUCGUCGCGAGAUCUCGCCAAUCCACCAAUGGCGCCUGGCGUGGGUGGGCUUCUGCUGUUGUUUCAGGGCGAGACCCACAGAGCAUAUAACUCUGUACUAUUGGAUGCUCUCCUGUCUCAGGCGAUUAGCCCCUUUGGUGCUUUAAGCGCUAGGUAAUACAGCGGCGAGAAGGUACUCUAGUUCUCCUAAGGCUGACUGCGCACAUGUCUCUAGUGCGCUCCUCAAUAGUCCUCAUGACCUUAAGUUCGUUUUGGUGUUCCCGAGAAUACUUUUGCUUGCUGGUCUGUAGUUUUGUGUAUGGUUUGGUUUUCAAUGGUAUUGAGCCAAGUGAUACAUUUUGUAUCUUUUAGGCAGUGGAAUAUAGAUUCAAGGGUUAGUCACUUCGCAGGUUUGGCUGCUUCGUAGUCAGUAGAGUGCUUAAGGACAAGUCUGAAAUCAUUUAGUUUGAUCGUAUCUAUGGCGACACAUAAGACUGCUUUUGCUGUCAAGGUACGUUGCCUGAUUGAUUACCGCCCUUGGAUGUCUACUUGUGGUGCUAAAUUCUAACUAUAAGAUCGAAUGGGCGUUUAUUUUGGUUUUUGUUUAUCUACAAAUAUUCAGUAUCUUUCUAGAAUUAUACGGUGGGAAUGUAUGCCAAGGUUGAAUGCAUGACUCAGAACUGACAGUAAGUGUACUUUAGGUGGUGGAUGCCUCUUGUCUUGUCAGCACUCUGAGGAAGUGAUUUUGAAGACCACCUACAGUGAUCAGACUUAGAACAAUGAUGGGAUGCAUGCUCUUAAUAAAAUUAAGUUUGUGGUCAAAUGCUGCUAGUGGUUUCUCCCCUCUUCGAGUUACGACUCGGACUUCCAUGUAGUCGCAACAUCAGCAAUCAGUGAUGCAGGUCUUCACCAGCUUCACUAGAAGUCUCACCCUUAAAUGUGAGACCUGGCGUGGAAGUGGCCAGCCUUGUACUGGAACUGAAUGGAACCACGCUUAUUGGGGGCUUCGUCCGGGUUUGCGCAAAAGCAUGAGCUCCUUGACAACCAUCUUUUCUGUGAGUUUGGUAUGAACCGUCAGCAUUCGCUUGUUCGUGGUUCAGCUGAACGUCUAUCACUGCCCCUAGCUAUUAAUCAAUCACGUGCAUGGGUAGAAUCUCCAUGGUAUGUCUUCCAUAUGUGCUUCCGGGACUGGCAUUAGCAAUUUGGCAUGGAGCCCCGAAACGUACUGGCCGAAGAUGACAGCUGCGGCUUGACAUGACGCAACCUAGAGCUUGUGGUAGAGAUCAGAACGGACCCUAGACGUAGGGGAUCUCAGCCCACCUCUGAAUUUGCAAAUCUAAGUCUAUUGAGAGGAGGCAUGGACUCGGGUACGAAAUUGUGGUAAAAUGUGAAGAAUGGAGGGUUUCCAUCAUUUAUAGUUAGACCUUCAGGUAGCACUCGCUCAUCGAAUUGACAUCCCAUCUUGAACAUUGUGGAAAUAAUCCCCGUCAAUUUCUGUUCAAAAUA